rnacentral:rRNA from 1 species
GACAGAGGGUGCAAACGUUGUUCGGAAUUACUGGGCGUAAAGCGAGUGUAGGCGGUUCGCUAAGUCGGAUGUGAAAGCCCUGGGCUCAACCCAGGAAGUGCACUCGAAACUGGCGAGCUAGAGUACUGGAGAGGUUGGUGGAAUUCUCGGUGUAGAGGUGAAAUUCGUAGAUAUUCGGAAGAACACCAGUGGCGAAGGCGGCUCACUGGCCCGGUACUGACGCUGAGGUGCGAAAGCGUGGGGAGCAAACAGG